GGCUCAGAAUGAACGCUGGCGGCAUGCCUAACACAUGCAAGUCGAACGAAGGCUUCGGCCUUAGUGGCGCACGGGUGCGUAACGCGUGGGAAUCUACCCCUAGGUUCGGAAUAACAGUUGGAAACGACUGCUAAUACCGGAUGAUGACGUAAGUCCAAAGAUUUAUCGCCUAGGGAUGAGCCCGCGUAGGAUUAGCUAGUUGGUGUGGUAAAGGCGCACCAAGGCGACGAUCCUUAGCUGGUCUGAGAGGAUGAUCAGCCACACUGGGACUGAGACACGGCCCAGACUCCUACGGGAGGCAGCAGUGGGGAAUAUUGGACAAUGGGCGAAAGCCUGAUCCAGCAAUGCCGCGUGAGUGAUGAAGGCCUUAGGGUUGUAAAGCUCUUUUACCCGGG
rnacentral:rRNA from 1 species